rnacentral:rRNA from 1 species
UACGGAGGGGGCUAGCGUUGUUCGGAAUUACUGGGCGUAAAGCGCGCGCAGGCGGCCCUUUAAGUCCGUCGGUCAAAUGCCGGGGCUCAACCCCGAGCGUGCCGAGGAUACUGGAGGGCUGGAGACACGUAGAGGCAAGCGGAAUUCCGGGUGUAGCGGUGGAAUGCGUAGAGAUCCGGAAGAACACCGGAGGCGAAGGCGGCUUGCUGGGCGUGAUCUGACGCUGAGGCGCGAAAGCGUGGGGAGCGAACAGG